ensembl:ncRNA C43G2.28 ncRNA
AUUAAAUGUUUUAUAUUGAACACUGUUUCAACGGAGUUAUAAUUAUUUUCUACAACUUCUCUGUUAAUGAAACUAUUUCAGCUGCAUGUAUAAUACAUUGAAUUUACCAGUUUUAAUACUUCCACAACAAUAGUAUCAAUUUAAAAUAAU